rnacentral:lncRNA from 1 species
GGAAGUGGGAGCCACAUACCCCGAGCUGGCGGCUUGAGCCUGUGGUAUCUAGGCUCACCUCACUGCGGUUGGUGGAGGUGAUGGAGGUUGCAGCUUGGCCAGCAUGGUAGAAAGGUGGCAGGGCACGUCUGGCUUUUACCACCCAGUUGCUUCGAGCCAGGAGAUGGAGGAGUCAUCUGUUGCACGCUGGAGGCUGGAGCCUGCAGAUGGCAUGGUUCUGUGGCUCACCUCGCUGCAGUUGGUGGCAGAGACAGAGACUGCAGCUUGACCAGAGUGGUGGAGUGUCUGUCUUGUUGCCACUCUCGAUGCCCAC